UUAUUAUUUUUUUUGGUAAAAAUUUUAAUAUUUUUUUUAAUAAAUUUUGAUAUUCGGAGUGAAGAAAUAUUUUUGAUCCAUAUUUUUUUUUAUAAAAAUUAAGGAGGGAUUAAAAAAAAUGUAUAAAAUCUUAUCAUAUUUUUUUUUAUAUAAAAUUCCUGAAGUGAACUUAAAAAAAAAUAGAAUCAAAGGAUUUAAAAGACAAAAAAAGUAAAGGAUUGAAUGGCUUAUAUAUAAAGAAAUUUUAUGCAUCAAAUUUUAUCAUUUCUUUUACUCCCACCUUAUAUUUUUUAUAAAAAAAAUAAUAUAGAUCAUAAAAUCUUUUUGAGAUAAAAAUUUAGAGGUGGUAUUGAAAAAUUAUAAACUUUUGUCAAUAAAAAAAUUAGAUAAAAAUUAUUAUAUAAAAGUAAAAAAAUGAAAUAAACUUUUGAUUAUUUUUUUUUUGUAAAUUAUAAAAAACUAGCAAAAAACUAACAAGAAAUCGCCUAGAAUAGUCAUUGCUCGGAUUCGAGAAUCACUUCGCCAAGUUUUUCUACGAACUCAUUAUCUUGUAACCACCAAUCCUAUUGUGGUGGCGCCAACAUGUAUUAAUCGAAUAGGGAUGGGUGUGAGAGUCGAUAGACGAAUGAAUUUGUAUUCAAAAAUAAUGGGGUGGAGGACCGGUACCUCUGGAGGAAAGUUUGGAAAGAUUUGAUUAGAAAUUAUUUCUUAUAUAAUGUGGAUUUUCUGUUGGCAUUGAUAUGCUAAAAGUUAUUAUUUUUAUUAUGUGUUUUUAUGAAAAUCAAAAUACCUCAAAAAUUUUAAGUAUUUUAAAAUUUAAUAAUUAAUGUUAAGAAUAUUUAUAUAAAAUUCGGAAAUGGUGAAAGUAAAAAAAAAAUAAAAUUUUAAUUAUUUUUUUUAAAUUAUAAAAAAUGCCAAAAUAUUUAAAAAUAUUUAUCAAAAAAUACUUACUAAAGAACCUAAAUAAAUUUAAUAAUAAUAAAAUAUUACAAUAAUAUAAAAAGAUGUAGGAGAGUAGAGAAGAGGGGGUCACAGAAAGAGAGGACAAUUUUAAAGAGAGAGAGAGGAGGGCAAUUUCGAGCGUGGCUCUCCAAAAUAUUUCCCAUCCCCACACCCCGUGUCAGAGGGGGUGGGAUUAUUUAUUUGCUUCAUUGUGGGCAAGGCAGGACGAGGAGUUGGUGGAGUGGUGGGUCAAAGAUGUUGAAAAAAAGGCAAUACGAGACGAAUACAGUCGUAGUAGUAAUGGAUUCUUUCUAUCUCAGCAGUGGUUUCUGUUAUCAUUGACUUGCCCCACACAUGGUUUAGCUUUUAAAAAAAUUAAAAAAUAAUCGAGGGCUCUUCUUGUUUUCUUCCUUGGGUUGGGCAGUUGGGAUCUCAUCCAGUGGGAGAGGCGAAAGGAACUCCCAAAAAACAAAACAAUGGCACCGACGAUUACGGGAUGAAGGGAGAAUUAUUGAUGACCCGACACUAUAGCGAUUAGCUAGCUAGCUACCUAAUUUUUCAGAUUUGUUAUUUGUUUUGAUUUUUAUUAUUUUUUUAAAUUUUUAUAUUUUUAAAUUUGCUAUCAAAAAAACUAAGAUUUUUUGACUUUUUUACUUUUGUAACUUUAUUUUAACUAAAAUUAAGUAAAAAAGUAAAAAAAAAAUCAAUUUUGAUUAGUUUUUUUACUUAUUUUAAGCAAAAAAAAUAAAAAAAAAACUGAAAAAACUAAUGUCAAACGGAACUUUAAUUACUUGCUUGUUAAACGUUUUUUUCAUUGAUCUCCAUUUUAUAAGUUAUUUGGGAUCAUGAUGUACUUUUUGCUAAUGCACCCGAUUUGUUUUGAUAAAUGUUGUGACAAAUUCGACCUACUGUUUGACUUUGCUAAAAUUUUCAUAUACAAAGAACAUCCAGCUAGGCUAGUUAUUUUAGCAUUUUAAGUAAAUUAGCUAAAAAAAACUUCAAAAAAAAAAUUACUACAUCAACUUAGUUAAAACUCUACAUGAGUUUAACAUGGCUACGAUUCACAAUCUUCUCACCAUUUUAUUAUUUUUUUCAAAGAAAGGUGUUGAAGUUUGUGAAAAAAAAACAAGUUUAAAAGAUAAUAAAUAAAAUGUGUAUGGAUAGAAUAGAUUUAAGAUAAAGAGUCUGACAUAAUAAGUAUUCAAAUAAAUGAUUAGCUAAAAUAAAAAUUAUAAUUUGACUAAAAUUUAAUGAGAUUGAUAUAGAAACUCUAAUAAAAAUAUUUUUUUAAAAGAAUUAAGCCAAAAAUUAGCUUCAACAGAGCUUUGGCUACAGUUGCUUUUACUUGGUCAGAUUUCGUUUCUGAAAAGCUGAAAGAAUGUGACCUGGAGUGUAAUUUCAAAGAAUACUCAAUUUGUAAUGAGUAUUAAAAUUUACCUUUAGUAAUCUUAAAUUAUUUUGAUUGUGUUUUGAUUGAUAAUUUAAUUAAAAUAAAAAAAAUUAAUAGUUCAGAUUUCAUCUCCUUUUCAUUUUCUCUGCAAAUUUCUUCCUUUCUAAUAAUAAUUUUAUGUAUGUAUAGAUAUAGACACGUGAGGUGACAAGAUUGAAUAGGUGGAAUCGUAGGGGAAAGAAGCUAAGCCGCAUCCGAUGGUGGAUGAGUUAUGCUUCCUAAUACACGUCAAAAAUGAGAAGCCCCACCACAGGGGACGGGCCCACCAAUUCUACUCAAUUUCAUGUUGAUGAAAUGAUGAUAGUAAGAUACCAGAUCUCUUUUUCUAUACAUUUUAUAUUAUUAUUGCAAUUCAACUUUAUUUGGUUGUAUUAUUAUGAUUUGAAAUUUAUGUAUUUUAAAAUUUAACAAGAAAUGAGAGUCAGAAGUACAGGAAUGGCAGAAAAAAUCUGACUUGAUAGUUACCCGACUCAUCUGAAAUUAAGAGCGGUGGUUUAAACAAUUUUUCUAUUCUUACAAGUAGAAUAUGAGUUCUUAAAAUUAUAACCCGCCCAAGAACGAGUAAGUACGGAGUUUACAAAAACUCUAUCCGAAUCCAACCCGAAAUGCACUUAAUAUAAUUUUAUUAUAAUAUCUCUAAUAAUUAGUACUAAUUAUUAGUUACAAGCAGGUAGCCAUUAGGUGGAGUCAUUAAGUAGGUGAGAUGGAAUCGUGGACCACCCCUAACUUCGUACAUGUACAAACCUUGUAAAAUCAUACCCUAUAUCGAGCUGGAGCUGGAGCGUAAUCAUAAAUUUAUAUUAUAAAAUAUAAUUUAUUUUAAAUUUUAAAAUUAUAUUUUAUUAUUUAUUGUUGAAAUUCUUUUGACUUAAUUCAACGAUUGAGAUUUCUCUUGAGAUUAUUUUUUCUCAAAAAAAAAUAUUACUUCCUUCUUCUCAAAUGUGUUGGACUCACAUACGUUCUUAUUCAAUAGACAAAAAAAUUUCUAAAUUUUGGCAUAUUUUUAUCUAUUGAAUUAUUUUUUAGUGAGACCCUCACAAAAAAAAACUAAAAACAAUAUUUUUUCUCCCUCAUUUCUCUCAAAUUAGUAAAAAAAAAAUUAAUUUUAUAGUUUAUAAUUUAUUCUCUAUUUUAUAGUAAUGUAUCUCUUCGUAUAUGCAUGCAAUGUAUCAUUUAUCUAACGUUUAUAUUUCAUCUGUUUUUUAUAUUAUAAACUCUAAUGAGUAUUUUUUUUACGUAGUGUCUAUGGAUAUUUAUUAGUUCAUUCAUAAUAAGGAAUUGAAAACAGUUGAUUGUUCUUGAUGGCGAAACUGUUUCGGCCAAGGAUGGCUUACCCAUCGAGUGGUAUUGUAAAACUAAAAAAUCCUUAUUGAUGUUGUUUGUUUGUUGAGACCACUUUUCUUAGACUUGAAGCGUCUCCAACCUCCGCUGAUCAUUCUUGCUUCAGUUUGGGACAAUACAACGCACUUUAUGAACUGGAAUUGCACCUAGAGAGAGAACACACCACGGUUGGGCUUUGAAACAAAGCCAAUUUUGUUGGAAACGACGAGACUUUUAAGCUGACAAAACUAUGAAGAAAAAGGUCAUAGGGUGAAUGGUGUUCGGGUAAUGUAUUAAAAAUCUCUCACAAAAUAAUUUCAUUCUAAUAUAAAUAUAUUUAAAAUUAAGGUCCUUAAAUGUUGUUUAAUUUUAAAUAUUUUUUAAGUUAAUUUUAUAUUAAAAUAAAAUUAUUUUAAGAGAUUUUUAAUCCAUUAUUCUUUUAAAAAAUAAAGUGCAAAUAUUUAAUUUAUGAGCGCAAAAUAAUAUUUUUCUCAAUUCCCAAAAAGCCAAACUUUUGAUUCUUUUUAUUUUCCAAACUGUGGUGAUGUCGUCUAAUUACUACACUCCUCACGAAACACACUUGUCUCCUGUGGGGGUUUCCAUCUUAGCUGGCAUUACAUACAUGACCCCAUCAAGUGCUUUACGAAGGAUAGAGAUAAGUAUGGGUGGUACAACAAUUGUACAUACGCAAGUGGGUGGGAGUGGGAGUGCACCCACCCCUCUUGUCUCUAGCCAAUUGGAAAGUCCAAAUCAGGCGGUAAAAGUAAAACCUCUUCGGUAAUACCGUAAUCGGAUGACUUUGAUUUUUAAUUUUUUAAACUUCAAGGCUCAUUAUCAUUACUAGAGUAUAUUUUAAAGAGAAGAAAGAUCAUCCACCGUGCCUUCUCAAAGCUUAUCUGAGCUAGUUUUUAUAAAGUUGUUUUAGAUUUUGAGUUUUUUUUUAAUUAUUUCUUUUGGUUUCUGUUGAUGAAAAGUAUAGAAUUUUGUUUAAAUUUAAAAAAAAUACUAAAGACCAAAAUUUAUUUAUUUUUUAAUAAAUAAAUAAUUUUUUAUUUUUGGUGAAUUUAUUUAUUUAAUUUUAAUAAAUUUUUUAUAUUUUCAAAUUCAUCACGUGAAAAUGUAUACUACAAACGAAAAAAACUUAAAACCAAACACCUAAAAUAAUUUUAAAAAAAAAUAGUUUCAACUGGGCGUAACUGUAUUUUUAGAAAUCAAGGGAGCAAAGAGAAUGAAUAUUCUUGUUCUUCUACUCGUUUGGAUAAAGCAAAAAAUAUGUGUAAGGGGAUAA
rnacentral:lncRNA from 1 species